UUGGACACACGUCGGGGAACUGCUAUUGGGUGGAACGUACUCCCACACCAGGAUAUAUGGGACAAAGCUACUCCGCCUAGAGGAUGUAAGAGAAAUAUUUCCACUCAUGAAUAUCUAGUUUCAUAGACGUCAACGCGGCCCACCACUGAACAGCUCACAUGACUGCCAGUCGUUCUUCUUAAGGGGGAUUGACGCUUCUGACAACAGACUAUCAAUUCACUGCACCACCAGCAACUACUUCCGACACCAUUGCGACCACUGCUCAAAUUACAACACCACGACAGAAACAAUUUAAUAAGUGUCCACGUGACAUGUAUGGCUUUAUAUAAUGGGACGGAUUGUCGCUGUUUGUCAACACAUCACUUUUACUCCACACACUGACACGGAGCGUCGCACGCGCUGCUGCAAUUAUGAAGAAGAUAUCAGUUCCAGCCCUGUUGAUGUUGCCGUGUCUCCUGAUGACCUUUUUCAGAGUUAUCUCCUCACAAGCUCCGUGCGUCGACGCAGACACAAGCCGGAAGUGCUACUACUGCAGCGGCCAUUACGACAACCCGUCCGUUUAUAACGAAUGUUGCGAGAACCCGGUUCUUCGACGACAUUGUACCGAUGAGGUGUGGGUUGCACCCAAAAGAGGAAAUUGGUGAAGAUCUGGAACAAAAACAAUCGGUGAAAAACACAAUGUUAUUAUUUGGUGGACAUGCCGGCGUCUUUGAAGAACAGUAACUCUUCCUCAGUUGCGUGUGUGAAACAGUCCCUCCAAAAGUGGUAUCCAGGAACGCUUUCCCUCUAAAGCAUUAUACCUAUGAGGAAAUAAAUGCGUUAUUUCAUUUUCA